CAAUAGCGUAUAUUAAAGCUGUUGCGGUUGAAAAGCUCGUAGUUGGAUUUCUGUCAAGGACAACUGGUCCGCCCCUCGGGUGAGCACAUAGUUUGGUCUUGGCAUCUUGUUGGAAACUGUUGCUGCACUUGGUUGUGUGGCGCAGUGUCCAGCACUUUCACUUUGAGGAAAUUGGAGUGUUUCAAGCAGGCACAUGCCUUUGGACACAGUAGCAUGGAAUAAUUAGAUUGGGCUUUUGCUCCAACUUGUCGGUUUCUGGAGCUGAGGUGAGAAUUAAUGGGGAUUGUUGGGGGCAUCCGAAUUUAGCCGUCAGAGGUGAAAUUCUUGGAUCUGCUAAAGACGGACAACUGCGAAAGCGUUUGCCCAGGAUGUUUUCAUUGA
rnacentral:rRNA from 1 species